AGAAAUAGAAUAUGUCCAAGACAAUUUAAAGGCGAAGUACAUGAAGCUUGCUAAAUAUGUGUCUUGCCAAGAAAUAAGACACAACACCAAUGCUCUUAAUGAGCGCAAAGGAACAGCACAAUCUAACAGAACAGUCUGAAAUAGCACAUAAUUCUUUCCUUCAUCUCCCAAAGAAUAAUAAAUGCUUGUAGAAGACUGGAAAACUCCAGGAAAUCAGAAAAUCAAACAGACAGAGAGUAUUCAUAUGGCAUGGACAAAGUGUAUUCAAAGCUCCUAAGGAAAGUGGUUAGUUAUUCUGGUUACUUUAUUUGGAACCUCCUCACAUUUCUAUGGAGGUAGAAGAAUUACUAGAAAGUGAAGAACCGAGUGUCUUGUUGGGUUAGUAUAUUUAACAUGAAGUGGUUUGUUUGUUUGUUUAUUUAUUUAUUUAUCCCUUUAAUUCAGCCUUCGGUAGUGAUUGUCAUUGUUAUGUCACUGAAAAUUAUGUGGAAAAUAUGUUUUUUAUUGUUCGCAAAAACUACUAGGACCAUGUGACAGAAGUUUUGCAAAAUGAAGAGAUCAAAAUUUUCUGAGAUUUCAAAAUUCAAACUGAUACGUACUUGGAACCUACUAGAAUGGAACUACUCCUAAAGUUAUAGAAAAAAAAUAAAGUUUGUUUAUUGAUGGGGCAAUACCCGAAGUAGUCAGAUUAAUGAAAAACAACAAAUUUACAAAUUAUGGAGGAGAAAGAUCAGUACUAAUACCUAAUGAAAUUGGAAUCUUGGUGUACUGACAAAAGGAUCCACCAUUUAGAUAUUUUAAACUUAAUGGACUAAAGUCUCCUAAUCUUGGGGAAAAAUCCUAUUUGGAACAGCUUACAUUAUAUGGCAUUACCUUCAAAACUCUUAGGUCCUUGACUGCGACCUGAAUCAUUAUAGUCAACACCCAGUCAAUUAGAUUGUGAUAUUCAUUUGAGCAAUUACAAUACACAUUUCUAUUCCCUUUUAAUGUAUUAUAUACAUAUCAAUUAUCAGUUACAUACAUUGUAAAAAUGUUCAAGUAUUCUAUAGGAGAAUGUUUUCGCCAUGGAUGUGGAAGAGUAAAGCUCCACUUUACUCUAGAGACACCAUUUUUGUCUCUGUUUAUUCUUUCCUAACCCUCUCAGUGCCUUUCAGCAGUCAUCAUGAUUUUCAUCCUUUUUCUAUUCAGCAAUUUCUAUUCAUUCCAUUGUUUAAUCAUAUCCCAAUGGCCAGCUGAAAAUUCAGUGCAUCUUAAUGUAAUAUUUGCCAUCUGUGUUCAUCCAUAACUCAUUCAUGCAGUGGAAAAUAUAUGCUGAAAGUCAUUCUGAUGACCUACCCUAAAUGCCUCUUAGUUCCAUAGCAAUUGCAUGACAAUGUGCUCUGAAUCUUGUCUGUUCCCCAUAGUAAUUUUAUGACUAACACUGAAAAAAGUAAUGACAAGGGUUUAAAUAAGCAGGUGGAGUUUCUUACUUAAAGGAGUCCUACAGGAUGAUAAGCAUAGGGAGCCCACAUGAAUCCAAGACAAGCAUUGGGAGCCAGCAUGAAUCCAAGAAAGUUAUCUAUUCUUUCCUGGCACAUGAUACAACUGGUACAAUUAAAUGAUACAACUAAAAAGUGAUUUCUUUGAGGAAAACAGAAAUUAGGCAGCAUCUAAAGCACAAAAGUUCAGGGUUCUUAUUCAAAGGCUUUUCAUAUGGAAAAGUCAUUGUUCCCAUUUGAUUCCCAAACAAUGUGAAAAGAG